UACGGGGGGGGCAAGCGUUGUUCGGAAUUACUGGGCGUAAAGGGCUCGUAGGCGGCCAACUAAGUCAGACGUGAAAUCCCUCGGCUUAACCGGGGAACUGCAUCUGAUACUGGAUGGCUUGAGAUUGGGAGAGGGAUGCGGAAUUCCAGGUGUAGCGGUGAAAUGCGUAGAUAUCUGGAGGAACACCGGUGGCGAAGGCGGCAAUCCUGGACCAACACGUGACGCUGAGGAGCGAAAGCCAGGGGAGCAAAGCGGG
rnacentral:rRNA from 1 species